rnacentral:rRNA from 1 species
CCGGCGACUCGAGUGGUAACCGUUAUUAUUGGGUCUAAAGGGUCUGUAGCCGGCCGGAUAAGUCUCUUGAGAAAUCCAGCAGCUCAACUGUUGGGCCUUCAGGAGAUACUGUUCGGCUCGAGGCCGGGAGAGGUGAGAGGUACUUCAGGGGUAGGGGUGAAAUCUUGUAAUCCUUGAAGGACCACCAGUGGCGAAGGCGUCUCACCAGAACGGACCUGACGGCAAGGGACGAAAGCUAGGGGCACGAACCGGAUUAGAUACCCGGGUAGUCCUAGCCGUAAACGAUACUCGCUAGGUGUCGGCCACGGUGCGACCGUUGUCGGUGCCGUAGGGAAGCCGUGAAGCGAGCCACCUGGGAAGUACGGCCGCAAGGCUGAAACUUAAAGGAAUUGGCGGGGGAGCACCACAACGGGUGGAGCUUGCGGUUUAAUUGGAUUCAACGCCGGAAAUCUUACCGGGACCGACAGCAAUAUGAAGGCCAGGCUGAAGACUUUGCCGGAUUAGCUGAGAGGUGGUGCAUGGCCGUCGUCAGUUCGUACUGUGAAGCAUCCUGUUAAGUCAGGCAACGAGCGAGACCCACGCCCACAGUUGCCAGCGUACUCUCCGGAGUGACGGGUACACUGUGGGGACCGCCGCUGCUAAAGCGGAGGAAGGAAUGGGCAACGGUAGGUCAGUAUGCCCCGAAUAUCCCGGGCUACACGCGAGCUACAAUGGUUGGUACAAUGGGUAUCUACCCCGAAAGGGGAUGGAAAUCUCCUAAAGCCAAUCUUAGUUCGGAUUGAGGGCUGCAACUCGCCCUCAUGAAGCUGGAAUCCGUAGUAAUCGCGUUUCAACAGAACGCGGUGAAUACGUCCCUGCUCCUU